UCGCGAAUGAAAUCCCACGUGACUACCUUUAUGGUGCUGUAUAUAUAAAGGGGUAGAUUCGCAACUUUCUGUCCGACUCCGAUACGAGACAACGAUAUAUUUUCUCGUGUGUAAGAACGUUAUCAUCACCAUGAACAAGUUUGCGAUUUUUCUUUUAUGCUUAACACUGUUAGGAAUCAUUCUUGAGACUGAAGCCCAAUGUUACAGGCACUGCGUACGUUAUAGGUGUGAUAUUCACUACUGCUAUUACCGGUGUACAAGAUACUGUCAUGGUAUUCAUGGAUUUGAAGGAAACGAUGAAGAUAAAGAAACAGAAGUGAAGUUCCCAAAGGGAGAAAAAGAAGAAGAAUUUGAUUUGAAUGACUAGAAGGCUGCUAUAUAAAAAGGUUGCUUCCAUUUUCUGAUGGACUGAAAAAAAAUCAUUUAUUUCUUUACUUUUUUUAUUAGUGAUAUAUCUCUAUUAAAUUAGUAUUUGUUGACAAUACUUGUAAUAUUGGUUAAGAAAUUCAAUAAAAGCACU